UACGAAGGGUGCAAGCGUUACUCGGAAUUACUGGGCGUAAAGCGUGCGUAGGUGGUUCGUUAAGUCUGAUGUGAAAGCCCUGGGCUCAACCUGGGAAUUGCAUUGGAUACUGGCGGGCUGGAGUACGGUAGAGGGUGGCGGAAUUCCUGGUGUAGCAGUGAAAUGCGUAGAUAUCAGGAGGAACAUCCGUGGCGAAGGCGGCCACCUGGACCAGUACUGACACUGAGGAGCGAAAGCAUGGGUAGCGAACAGGAUUAGAUACCCGGGUA
rnacentral:rRNA from 1 species